rnacentral:rRNA from 1 species
GAUUUCUGGUUUGGCGCACUUGGCCCGCUGCGGUUACGUAGUUGUGUGCCGGUGUGCGCCUACCAUCCAUCUAGAGAACUAUUACGCCCUUCAUUGGGUUGUGGUAGGUAUCUAGAUCUUUUACUUUGAAAAAAUUAGAGUGUUUAAAGCAGGCUUGUGCUAUGAAUACAUUAGCAUGGAAUAAUAAUUUAGGACUUUGGUCUUAUUUUGUUGGUUUCUAGGACUGAAGUAAUGAUUGAUAGGGAUAGUUGGGGGUGCUAGUAUUCAGCGGCCAGAGGUGAAAUUCUUGGAUUCGCUGAAGACUAACUUAUGCGAAAGCAUU